rnacentral:lncRNA from 1 species
AAAAAGAUUUUUUUUUUUUUUGAGUGGUUUUUCAACUCCAAUUAGUUAGGCUCACGGUUAGACCACUUUGCAUCAUCAGCCACCUCCACCUCGACGGGCAUUUGCUAGUGCUGCACAUAUUAGGUCUGGUUCGAUUUCCCUAGUUAUGUUGUAUCCCUAGAAUAGCACCUAGGUGAAGCGAACAUUGUGGAUUAUUCUGUCACACCCCAAACCCGUCUUCCGGGUCGACUGCAUGACGCAGCCACAUAAUCCCUAAAGCGAAGCGAGGCCUAAAAUGAACAAUAUCAAUAAAAUAUCAAUAAUAAUCAAAUCGAUCCAAUGAUACUACUAAUAUUAAAUAAUCAACUAGAUCAAUUAUAGAUUUUCAAAUAUCCAUCGAUAUCAGCAAAAAAAAAGAUAUCUAGCUAACUAACUACUAACAACGCGAACUCUGAGUCCCUUCCAAUCGAAAUCAUGCCUUCCGUGACUACGGAAAAAAAAAAAAGCAAGAAAGGCUAUGAGUUUUUCCAGCUCAGUAAC